rnacentral:rRNA from 1 species
CACGUAGGGCGCAAGCGUUGUCCGGAAUUAUUGGGCGUAAAGAGCUCGUAGGCGGUCUGUUACGUCUGCUGUGAAAACCCUGGGCUUAACCCUGGGCUUGCAGUGGAUACGGGCAGACUAGAGGCAGGUAGGGGAGAAUGGAAUUCCCGGUGUAGCGGUGAAAUGCGCAGAUAUCGGGAGGAACACCGGUGGCGAAGGCGGUUCUCUGGGGCCUGACCUGACGCUGAGGAGCGAAAAGCGUGGGGAGCGAACAGG